CUUUUGCUAUGUGAAGAAGGACAUGUUUGCUUCUCCUGCCAUGGCUGGAAGUUUCCUGAGGCCUCCCCAGCCAUCCUGAACUAAAGAAGUGUUUGCUUCCCCUUCCAUCAUGGUUGGACGUUUCCUGAGGCCUCUCCAGUCAUGCUGAGCUAGGUACCUGGUGCCAGUUCCUGAGACUUGAGGAUUCUGGUUGGUUCUCAGCACAGGAGUCAGCCUGCUCUGAUUUGCUAGUGCGUCUAGAGUGUUGACAGCUGUUUCCAUGGACUUCAAAUCAACCCAACCCUGUGAGCACAGACUUUCAGCACCAGAGUCAGAUUUCCCAAAAAUGCUAUUCUUGAAGCGUAGAGCCAGACUCACAGAUCCUGUAAAGAAAACAGACCUUUCAGCAAGUGAAACACCCAAUCUUCCAUUGCAUGGGACUCACAGAGGUUCUGAGGGAGAGAUGUGAAUAGAAGGAGUGAUUGUCACUGUGGACUCUAUUUCUUCCAUCUGUGCAUGCAAGAUUUAUAUCUGUAUGUGUUUGUUUUAAAGUUUUAUUGAGGUAUAAUUGAUACACAAUAAUCUGUACCUAUUUAAUGUAUACAAUUUGAUCAGUUUGGACAUAUUUAAAUACCUGUGAAACCAUCACCACAAUCAAGGUAAUAGACAUAGCCAUCACCUCCAAAAGUUUCUUUGUGUCCCUUUGUGGUUUGUUUCUGAGAUAAGAACACUUAACAUGUGGACUCUUGACACUCUUCUUGGAUCGCUUAAUUUGAUUGCUGUUGCUGUCACCACAUUGACUUCCUAGCCCUGCUGAUCCUCCUUUAUCACUAGCUCUAGAAAAAAAAACAAACCAAACACCACUAAUUCAUUUAUUCAGUAAUUCAACAAAAAAACCAUUGAGCACUUAAUAUUUGCAGAAUACAUGGCUAGAUGCAGAGGAUUCAAAGAAUUGAGUGAAGUCACAUAAAGUGUUAAGAACAGUGUGUGAUACAAACAUGAAAUAUGUUAGCUGUUAGAAUUUCAAACUCACUUCCAUAUCAAUUAUAAUAAGGAUUUCCAUAAACAGCAGAAUAGUAUUUCUAUUAGAUACUCACAGAUGCUAAUAAAACAGUAGAAUGGUAAAAACCAUGCAUCCCCCAAGGCAAGAGAAGGUGAGCUAUUUUGCCUCGGUGGCUCAAUAUUCCAUCAAUGGGUCCUGCUUUAAACUGCAAGUACUUACCUGCCUUCCUUCUUUCAACAGACUGACUCCACGUUGCUUUAGGAAAGAUUCAUUGAAACAAAGGAAUAAAACACCCAAGAUAUAGUGUUUCUAAAAACAUUUUUUAAUGAAGAAAUAAUUCCACUCCAAAAUAUAGACACACAAUUAAAUAGUUUAAUCACUUCAAAAUAUAACAUGUCCCCAGGAGGUUCCAACACACACACACACACACAAAACAAUACUUAACAGCAAUACAAAAAUCCAUACAAUAGUAUUUUUUUUUUACAAUACCAAUGAAUAUUGUGAAAUCUUUAGUGUCUCUGAAUUGGUUAUUUCAAAUGGUGUCAAAUUGCAGUAGUCAUAAUUAAAAAUGUCUUACAGUUAAUUCGCCUCAAGAUGCAACACUUCUGAUUUUUUUUUCUCUUUUUGGUUCAAAAGUAAAAAUGCCCUUUCUUCUAAGGACAGUGGAGUUCUCACUUGUGGCUCCUUGCGUGGAAUCGAACCAA